ACUCCUACGGGAGGCAGCAGUGGGGAAUAUUGCACAAUGGGGAAACCCUGAUGCAGCCAUGCCGCGUGUGUGAAGAAGGCCUUCGGUUGUAAAGCACUUCAGUAGGGAGGAAGGUAGUGUAGUUAACACCUGCAUUAUUUGACGUUACCUACAGAAGAAGCACCGGCUAACUCCGUGCCAGCAGCCGCGGGUAAUACGGAGGGUGCGAGCGUUAAUCGGAAUUACUGGGCGUAAAGCGCAUGCAGGCGGCCUGUUAAGUCAGAUGUGAAAGCCCGGGGGCUUAACCUCGGAAUUGCAUUUGAAACUGGCAGGCUAGAGUCUUGUAGAGGGGGUAGAAUUUCAGGUGUAGCGUGAAAUGCGUAGAGAUCUGAAGGAAUACCAGUGGCGAAGGCGGCCCCCUGGACAAAGACUGACGCUCAGAUGCGAAAGCUGGGGAGC
rnacentral:rRNA from 1 species